UCCAGAGAACUUGGCAGAGAUGCCUUGGUGGCCUUCGGGGACCUCUGAGACAGGUGCUGCAUGGCUGUCGUCAGCUCGUGUUGUGAAAUGUUGGGUUAAGUCCCGNAACGAGCGCAACCCCUAUCCUUUGUUGCCAGCGAUUCGGUCGGGAACUCAAAGGAGACUGCCGGUGAUAAACCGGAGGAAGGUGGGGAUGACGUCAAGUCAUCAUGGCCCUUACGAGUAGGGCUACACACGUGCUACAAUGGCGCAUACAAAGAGAAGCGACCUCGCGAGAGCAAGCGGACCUCAUAAAGUGCGUCGUAGUCCGGAUCGGAGUCUGCAACUCGACUCCGUGAAGUCGGAAUCGCUAGUAAUCGUAGAUCAGAAUGCUACGGUGAAUACGUUCCCGGGCCUUGUACACACCGCCCGUCACACCAUGGGAGUGGGUUGCAAAAGAAGUAGAUAGCUUAACCUUCGGGAGGGCGUUUACCACUUUGUGAUUCAUGACUGGGGUGAAGUCGUAACAAGGUAGGCGUAGCGAG
rnacentral:rRNA from 1 species